GACGAACGCUGGCGGCUUGCUUAACACAUGCAAGUCGAACGGAAAUGCUCCUUUGGGGGUACUCGAGUGUCGAACGGUUGCGUAACACGUGAGUUACCUUCCCUUGACUUCGUGAUAACUUCAGGAAACUGGGGCUAAUACCGGAUCGGAAUCCUUGCUGCAUGGUGGGGGUUGGAAAGCUUCGGCGGUUUUGGAUGGAUUUGCGGCCUAUCAGCUUGUUGGUGGGGUAGUGGCUUACCAAGGCUUUGACGGGUAGCCAGCCUGAGAGCGCGACCUGCCACAUUGGGACUGAGAUAAGGACGAGACUCCGACGGGAGGCAGAAGGGGGGAAUAUUGCACAAUGAGCGGAAGGCUGAUGCAGCAACGAAGCGUACGGGAUAACGGCAUUAGGAUUGAAAACAGCAUUCAGCAGGGGAGAAGCUUGUAGUGACGGUACAUGCAGAAGAAGCAACGGCUAACUAAGUG
rnacentral:rRNA from 1 species